rnacentral:rRNA from 1 species
UACAGAGGUCCCGAGCGUUGUUCGGAUUCAUUGGGCGUAAAGGGUGCGUAGGCGGCGCGGUAAGUCGGGUGUGAAAUCUCGGGGCUUAACUCCGAAACUGCAUUCGAUACUGCCGUGCUUGAGGACUGGAGAGGAGACUGGAAUUUACGGUGUAGCGGUGAAAUGCGUAGAUAUCGUAAGGAAGACCAGUGGCGAAGGCGGGUCUCUGGACAGUUCCUGACGCUGAGGCACGAAGGUCAGGGGAGCAAACGGG